rnacentral:rRNA from 1 species
AGUGAACGCUGGCGGUAGGCCUAACACAUGCAAGUCGAACGGCAGCACAGUAAGAUCUUGCUCUUACGGGUGGCGAGUGGCGGACGGGUGAGGAAUACAUCGUAUUCUUCUUUUUCGUGGGGGAUAACGUGGGGAAACUUACGCUAAUACCGCAUACGACCUACGGGAGAAAGCAGAGGAUCUUCGGACCCUGCGCGUAUGUAUGAGCCGGUGUCGGAUUAGCUAGUUGGCGGGGUAAAGGCCCACCAAGGCGACGAUCCGUAGCUGGUCUGAGAGGAUGAUCAGCCACACUGGAACUGAGACACGGUCCAGACUCCUACGGGAGGCAGCAGUGGGGAAUAUUGGACAAUGGGCGAAAGCCUGACGCAGCCAUGCCGCGUGGGUGAAGAAGGCCUUCGGGUCGUAAAGCCCUUUUGUUGGGAAAGAAAAGCAGCAGGUGAAUACCCCGCUGUUCUGACGGUACCCAAAGAAUAAGCACCGGCUAACUUCGUG